CCUACGGGUGGCAGCAGUGAGGAAUAUUGGUCAAUGGGAGAGAUCCUGAACCAGCCAAGCCGCGUGAGGGAAGACGGCUCUAUGGGUUGUAAACCUCUUUUGUCGGAGAACAAAACCCGGGACGUGUCCCGGACUGCGUGUAUCCGAAGAAAAAGCAUCGGCGAACUCCGUGCCAGCAGCCGCGGUAAUACGGGGGAUGCGAGCGUUAUCCGGAUUUAUUGGGUUUAAAGGGUGCGUAGGCGGUCCGUUAAGUCAGCGGUAAAAUUGCGGGGCGCAACCCCGUCGAGCCGUUGAAACUGGCAGACUUGAGUUGGCGAGAGGUACGCGGAAUGCGCGGUGUAGCGGUGAAAUGCAUAGAUAUCGCGCAGAACUCCGAUUGCGAAGGCAGCAUACCGGCGGCGAGCUGACGCGGAGGCACGAAAGCGUGGGUAUCGAACAGGAUUAGAUACCCUUGUAGUG
rnacentral:rRNA from 1 species